GACGAACGCUGGCGGCGUGCUUAACACAUGCAAGUCGAACGGAAAGGCCCUGCUUUCGUGGGGUGCUCGAGUGGCGAACGGGUGAGUAACACGUGAGUAACCUGCUCUUGACUUUGGGAUAACUUCAGGAAACUGGGGCUAAUACCGGAUAGGAGCUCCUGCUGCAUGGUGGGGGUUGGAAAGUUUCGGCGGGUGGGGAUGGACUCGCGGCUUAUCAGCUUGUUGGUGGGGUAGUGGCUUACCAAGGAUUUGACCGGUAGCCGGCCUGAGAGGGUGACCGGCCACAUUGGGACUGAGAGACGGCCCAGACUCCUACGGGAGGCAGCAGUGGGGAAUAUUGCACAAUGGGCGGAAGCCUGAUGCAGCAACGCCGCGUGCGGGAUGACGGCCUUCGGGUUGUAAACCGCUGUCGCCUGUGACGAAGCGUUAGUGACGGUAAUGGGUAAAGAAGCACCGGCUAACUACGUG
rnacentral:rRNA from 1 species